rnacentral:rRNA from 1 species
UACGUAGGGGGCUAGCGUUGUCCGGAAUCAUUGGGCGUAAAGGGUGUGUAGGUGGCGCGCUAAGUCGGGUGUGAAAUUUCGGAGCUUAACUCCGAAACUGCAUUCGAUACUGGCGUGCUUGAGGACUGGAGAGGAGACUGGAAUUCAUGGUGUAGCAGUGAAAUGCGUAGAGAUCAUGAGGAAGACCAGUGGCGAAGGCGGGUCUCUGGACAGUUCCUGACACUGAGACACGAAGGCCAGGGGAGCAAACGGG